rnacentral:rRNA from 1 species
AGUGAACGCUGGCGGUAGGCCUAACACAUGCAAGUCGAACGGCAGCACAGUAAGAGCUUGCUCUUACGGGUGGCGAGUGGCGGACGGGUGAGGAAUACAUCGGAAUCUACUUUUUCGUGGGGGAUAACGUAGGGAAACUUACGCCAAUACCGCAUACGACCUACGGGUGAAAGCAGGGGAUCUUCGGACCUUGCGCGAUUGAAUGAGCCGAUGUCGGAUUAGCUAGUUGGCGGGGUAAAGGCCCACCAAGGCGACGAUCCGUAGCUGGUCUGAGAGGAUGAUCAGCCACACUGGAACUGAGACACGGUCCAGACGCCUACGGGAGGCAGCAGUGGGGAAUAUUGGACAAUGGGCGCAAGCCUGAUCCAGCCAUACCGCGUGGGUGAAGAAGGCCUUCGGGUUGUAAAGCCCUUUUGUUGGGAAAGAAAAGCAGCAGGUUAAUACCCCGCUGUUCUGACGGUACCCAAAGAAUAAGCACCGGCUAACUUCGUG